rnacentral:rRNA from 1 species
UACGAGGGGUGCAAGCGUUGUUCGGAAUUACUGGGCGUAAAGGGAGCGUAGGCGGAGAUUCAAGCGGAUUGUACAAUCCCGGGGCCCAACCCCGGCUCUGCAGUCCGAACUGGAUCUCUUGGAUAGUUCAGGGGCAGGCGGAAUUCCUGGUGUAGCGGUGGAAUGCGUAGAGAUCAGGAAGAACACCGAUGGCGAAGGCAGCCUGCUGGGGACUCAUCGACGCUGAGGCUCGAAAGUGCGGGUAGCAAAC